UGAUCCUAAAAACAGACAGACACCUGGCUGUGUACCUUUAAGACACAGCCGCAGAUCGACAUGCAAACUAACGGUGCCAGACGGUGGCGUGGGGGGGCCGUGGUCAAGAAUGAGCACCGAUCACGCAGUUUGAUUCCAUGAGCAGGGAAGGCCAGACGAGCCCUUCCAGUGAACCUCUGUGGACGCUAUCAUGACAAGCUGCUGCCCUUCGCUGAAAUAACCCAGCGGACCCGAAAACCAGAUGCCAGACAAAGCUAUUUUUAUGUCUUGCAAACCUAACCCAAGCAACAGCUGCCUGUUGAAAGAGUGAUCGUGGCCUUCACCACAAUGAACACGAGAAACUGCUCAGUCCUGGCGAAUUCUGGAUCUAUCACCCAGGCCAGAGUGCAGUGGCAUGAUCUUGGCUCACUGCAACCUCUGCCUCCCAGGCUGAAGCCAUCCUCCUACCUCAGCCUCCAGAGUAGCUGGGACUACAGGCGUGUGCCACCAUGCCCAGCUAAUUUUUGGUUUUUUGGGUUUUUUUUUUUUCUGUAGAGACAGGAUCUCACUUUGUUGCCCAGGCUGAUCUUGAACUCCUGAGUAAGAGCUUUGUCCUAAUAAUUAAUAAUACCAAUAAUGCCUUCCACUAUAAGCAUCUUGUUUACAAGUAUCCCAUUUCACACAUGAGAAUCCAAUGUCCAGAGAGGUGGAGUGACUUGUUUGAAGUCACACAGCUUGGAGGUAUACAUGGCAUUCGACCCUGGGCUACCUGACUCUAAAGCUAGAUUUGUCAUAGGCGGAGGUGACCAGGUCGUUGAUUCAAUUGUUUAAUGGGCUACCCUAUUGGAUUGGUGGAAUCAGAGCCUGAAAAAGACACCCAAAAGAGGGUCAGCAGUUUUCAAACUUACAACAUGUCAGAGCAUCUGGGUCUUCAGGGAAUCCCAGCCAGUACUGCUAGAGUAAGCAAAAGAUUACUACAUCUCUGGUUUUGUGCCAAAUCCCAAACCAUUCCAUCCUAGAGUACGGGUGUACAGCAUUCAAGGCCUCUGAUUUUGGAACAACUUCAGGGAGCAAAACAUAUUUAAGAGAAGCCUGUACAUUUCAGCUUCUCCCUCAGCCAGGAAAUUACUCAAAUGAUUGAGUCUCCCAGGGCCCUCUGAGAGUAUAGACCCAGAAAGAUGCACAUCCACAAUGCCUGGUACACUGUAGGUGCUCAAUUAAUGCCUGUUGAGACAAACCAAACUUCUUUUUUCUUUCUUUUUAUUUUUUAUUUUUUUUGUGUGUGUAGAGACAAGGUCUCUCUCUGUCACCCAGGCUGGAGUCCAGUGGCACAAUUGUAACUGACAGCAGCCUCGAACUCCUGGGAUCAAGCAAUCCUCCUGUUUUAGCCUCCCAAAUAGCUGGGACUACAGGUGCACACCACGACAUCUAGCUAAUCUUUUUUAUAUUUUGUAGAGAUAGGGUCUUUCUGUGUUGCCCAGGCUGGUCUUGAACUCCUGUCCUCAAGCAAUCUUCCCACCUCUUCCUCCCAAAGUUCUGGGAUUACAGGCAUAAGCCACCAUGCCUGGUUCAGAUCAAAUUCUUGAUGUGGUGAAUCUGCCAUCCCAAGCAAAACUGGCCUGAAUGGUUCCAGAUCGGCCCCUGCCUUGAAGGAAGGUGGAAUCCUAUCCUUCUUCGCUUCUCCCCCUGCUGUGCUGUGAAUUUGCCUUCUUCAGCCAUUCACUCAUUCAUCAGCAGGUAUUUCCUGAGCACCUGCCAGGUGUGGUACACGCUGCUGGAGACAUGGAGCAAACAGGCAGGAAUGGCCCAGCCCUGCCCUCGUGGGUUUAUGAUCUCACUGGGAAGCAAAUAAAAUCACAAACCUGAGGGCACAACCAGGAGAAUCGCCAUGAACUCGUGAUGGAUCAGGUUUUGCACCAAAAUGUGAACUCUACUUUGAAGUAACAAGUCACUGAAUCACAAAUUCAGAGGAAGCAUGAGAACAAGGUAUUCCAGGCCGGGUGCAGUGGCUCAUGCCCGUAAUCCCAGCACUUUGGGAGGCCAAGGUGAGCAGAUCACUUGAGGUCAGGAGUUCGAGACCAGCCUGGCCAACAUGGCAAAACCCCAUCUCUACUAAAAAUACAAAAAUUAGCUGGGCGUGGUAGUGCUUGCCUGCAAUCCCAGCUACUCGGGAGACUGAGACUGAGGAAUUGCUUGAACCUGGGAGGCAGGGGUUGCAGUGAGCUGAGAUUGUGCCAUCGCACUCCAGCCUGGGUGACAGGACGAGACUCUGUCUCAAAAAAAAAAAAAAAAAAAGAACAAGGUCAAAGUUUCUACUGGGAUAAGACUUCAAGGAAACCUCCAUUUCAAAAGAUUAAAAUGUUUAUUUCCCCAUGAAGACUGGGUAUCUCAUGUAAUGUAAUACUCAAAUUUCUGUCUCAGACCUAAAGGUGUUGAAAGUAUGAGCGAGUUUACACAACACCUGAGCAGGAGCAAAUAAAACUCUUAAGAGCUUCUGAAAGAAAGUUACAGAUUAGAGAUAUUUUCAUCUCUAAAUCACAUGAAUUAGGAUUGGCUGGGUCUUUCCACUUAAAACUUGGAGAAGUCAUAAAAAGAAAUCUUGUAAAGAACUCCAUGUCACUAUUAGCAGAAACAUGCAAUUUAUAAAAUGAUAUCUUUGGCCAGGCGCGGUGGCUCAUGCCUGUAAUCCCAGCACUCUGGGAGGCCGAGGCGGGCGGAUCACUUGAGGUCAGGAGAUCGAGACCAUCCUGGCUAACACAGUGAAACCCUGUCUCUACUAAAAAUACAAAAAAAAUUAGCCGGGCGUGGUAGUGGGUGCCUGUAGUCCCAGCUACUUGGGAGGCUGAGGCAGGAGAAUGGCGUGAACCCAGGAGGCGGAGCUUGCAGUGAGCACUCCAUCUCAAAUAAUAAUGAUAAUAAUAAUAUCUUCACCUUUCAGUUUUUAAAUUGCAAGUCCCAUGUCCCGGGAAUUCCCCGGUCCUGGGCAAAGUGGGAUGGUUGGUCACCCAACCUAUAUGGAUGCCCAUUGAUAUUAAAAAAUAAAAGUAAUCACAAUAGACAUGAGGGAGAGAGUUGUGUACAGUGUGAGUGUACAGAAUAAAAGGUCUGGGGGGUUUAUACCAAAAUGUGCACAGUGGCUACCUGGAGGAGGAGGGUUAGACAGGAAUAACAGCAAGGAGACUUUUGCACGGUGCUGAGUGACUUUUUAACUUGCAUAUUAUUUUGGAAUGCAUUUUUUCAACAUUGAAAGAAAGUCAUGUCUUCCUAGAAAUAUAGGAUAUAGGACCACUACAAACGCUUUACUCUUAGUCUCCUUUUUUUCUUUUUCUUUUCUUUUUUUUUUUUUUUGAGACAGAGUCUUGCUCUGUCAGUCAGGCUGGAAUGCAGUGGCGCAAUUUUAGCUCACUGCAACCCCCACCUCCUGGGUUCAAGCGAUUCUCCUGCCUCAGCCUCCCAAGUAGCUGGGAUUACAGGUGCCCAUCACCACAUCUGGCUAAUUUUUAUGUGUUUAGUACAGAUGGGGUUUCGCCAUGUUGGCCAGGCUGGUCUCGAACUCCUGACCUCAAGUGAUCCACCUGCCUCUGCCUCCCAAGGUGCUGGGUGGCAUGAGCCACCGUGCCCAGCCUUAGUCUGCUUUAAAAAAAAAAAAAAAAAAAAAAAGAACAACCAUUUGAGGAAACAGAAACAGAAUACUAUUCCUUAAGACAGUAGCUUUGGAGGCAAAAAACAGAAUUGUUUAUAAAACGUUGUGGAACUUAUAUGGGAGCAUGUCCAGGGAUCCACACCACCAUUUAUAGAAGCAAAGAAAGGCCCUUCUCUUUCAUCUGCGUUACAUUUCGAGCUCUUCUGAUUAGCUUCCUUCAAACAUGACGGGAGUCGUUUUUCCCCGGGGACCCCAAGUGCAUGCCUUCAGACAGGGUCUGCUCUCACUAUACAUUGGGUUCGAAUUUACCUGGACGUUGGCAGAAUGGUCCGGACCCCGGGGAGGGGCGAGCUGACUUACCACUUUAUUCCUGCCGCUUUUCUCUUGCCAUGUCCUCCCCACCGUGCAUUCAGGGUUACAUUUUCCAGGUUCCUUGUUUGCUGAGGGCCUGAAUCUAAGCCUGCUAGCUGCUUACUCUGGGGACUGCAAAUGUCACUUUUAGAUUAAUCAGCCCCUGCUGUUUAAAAAUAUCCCUGGAGCACUUAACCUUCAAAGCAGCAACAACCCGGGGCAAAGAUGAGAAAGAUCCCACGUCAAACCACUUGUGCAGCCCUGGCUACUCCUGGGAGAGUUCUGCUAUCUGCCUUUUAAUCCCAUAACUCGCUUUAUUUCAUAAUUCUUAGCUGUUGAAGCCAUGAGGCAUCUAAAGUCCAUGUUGUCGUAAGCAGUAGGCAGAAAGUCAUCUGGGCCCUCCUGUGACAUGCUGAAAAUUAACUGCCUACAGGUGUUGGUCAUUUGAGAAACAAGCCCCCAUUGAAAACCGUGAAUGGGAAGGUGAUCGCUAUCAGGUCACCUGGCUUCUCUCCCCUGAAAAGAUUUGGCGAAACCCUCUCAAAUCACGCCACUUAAUGGAAUGUUUCCAAUUUCUUGUGACUUGGGGAUAAAAGAAAAAAACAGCUCCAUUGCCACAUUCUCAUUCAGGGUUGACUGGCUCUUGCUAGGGUUGAGCACAGAAGAGGAAAUUCAGCACACGCUGCAGUUACAUAGUGUUCUGCAACGUGGGGAGGGCUGGCAUGUGGGACAAAGGUCGCCUCCAAGGCCCAGCUGGAGAAGCCCAGCCAACUAGGCAGCAGGAAAGUGGAGACCACAUAGGAGCACAUUGUGCUCAGGCAACAGGGAAGGUGGAACCCACUUCCUGCCAACAAUGAUGGCCUUACUAAACAGCAAGUGGAGAAACUGGCGAGAGCGCUGAGCACGGGAUCUGUGCAAAAUGGUUUAAAUGGAAAUUGCUGCUGGGGCUGGUGCAGCCUGUUCACAGCUACUUUGUUUCUGGGCUUAUUUUGCAAUAAGGAACAGUCAUUGAAUAUUGGACUUCUUGGGAUUUUCUCCACUGGACUUGGAAGCAUGUGCUCUGGAAACCUCAGCAUUAUCAGCUGUAACCCCACAGCACCAGGUACAUGUUACAGGAACCGGGGUGAAGGAAUGCAGGUCAAAUGCCUGCACAAUGCCCGGCCCGAGUCAUAUGUUCUCUAGCCACAGUAGCCCUUGUGAUGGCUCUUAGUCUAUUUAUUAAGACAAUAAAAGAGGUGACUCUCAAACAAACCUAUGUUUCCAGGGAGAGCCAUCUGUGAUUCAAGGACAUUUUUAUAAAAUUCCAUUGAAAAAAAUUCUUAGGCUUCUAACUUCAUGAAAAAAAAAUUCUUUCCCAGUGAUUCCAAAUAAUCAUGAUCUAGGCAGGGUGUUGACAGUGGCAGGACUAUUAGGCUUUGAAAUCAAGCUGAUGUGGGUUUGAAUCCUCCCUCCAUUAGCCAUGACUUUGAGCAAAUGGCUGAGCUUCAGUGUCCUCAUCAACUACUUCACCAUAUGGGUGAGAAAAUGAAAUGAUUUAUAUUGAGUUUCUGGCACAGGGGCUUGCUCAUGACAAGCACUUAAUAUCUUUCUAAUGAAAUUCAUUACUUGCAAAAAGACUAGACAUACCCACACAUACAGGUGAAGAACUCUGCAGUGAUUCAGUUCUCCCUAGACACUAUCUCUUUAAGACACAGGUAUUUUCCAGAAUAUAAUUGGAAGGCUUGAAACCAAAGUUAUUCAUAAACUCUUUCCAUCAAACACAAGAACGGUAAUAGAAAUAUAUUUCUUCAAACAGCUGUUAGUUUCAGAAAGUCACAGGUAUCAAGUUACAUUUUUUGUUUUGUUUUGUUUUGUUUUAGAAAUAGGAUCUUGCUCUGUUGCCCAGGCUGGAUGGAGUGCAGUGGCAUGAUCAUAGCUCACUGCAGCCUCGAACUCCUGGGCUCAAAUGAUCCUCCUGCCUCAGCUUCCCAAGUAGCUAGAACUACAGGCACACACCACCCCUGGCUAAUUAAAAAAAAAAAAAUUUUUUUUUUUUAAAGACAAGGUCUCAUUAUGUUGCCCAAGUUGGUCUUGAACUCCUGGCCUAAAGCGAUCUUCUUGCCUUGCCUCCUAAAGCACUGGGAUUACAGGUAUGAGCCACUGUACCUGGCCCAAAAAAAAUUAUUAAGUGACCACAUGGUCUAACAAAACAAGGCACCUGGAAAGAAAUCACCAGUCCUGCUGCAAACCGGACCCUCUGUGAGAAUUCACAUGCCUUCCCCCACCAAUUAAAUCAGAAUUUCCAGGGAUGGGGUCUGGCUUUGCAUGUUUUAGCUUCUCUAGGCUGGAGGAGCACUAGCUUCUUGUUGGAAGGCUCCCUACCUUCCUCUCCCACACCCUCACCCCAAACAUCAUUAAGAGAGACAAAAGAACAUGCUAUAUACACAACUAACAAGCAGAGAACAUAAAUUAUUGAUCUCCUGGUCUGCUCCGCUCACCAAUAUUUAUAUUUCCAAGCAUAUUUCAAAAACUUAAAAACUGGUUCCCUAGCCUGGGCAACUUAGCAAGACCCCAUUUCUAUUAAAAACUUAGCCAGGUAUGGUGGUGCAUACCAGUGGUCCCAGCUGCUCAGGAGGCUGAGGCAGGAGGAUCACCUGAACCCAGGAAGUUGAGGCUGCAGUGAGCCAUGACUGAGUCACUGUACUCCAUCUUAAGAAACAGAGUGAGACUCUAUCGCAAAAAAAAGAAAAAAAAAUUGGUUCCCAUUGACUUAAACUACAAAGGAACUUCCUGUUGUCAGACCCAAAUUACAGUGUCAGAAGGACUCUAAACAAGGAGGCCAUCUCCAGCAGAGGAAUGUUCUAGCUUUCCUCAGCUUGAGUCAGCACAAGUCAGCAUGUGAGGUCUUUUCAAAGUAACCCAGAGCACCUCCCUGCAACCUGUUUUUCCUUGCAAAUCUUGAAGGUUUGGCAAGGAUGAAAAGCCAACACCACACGCAUACGCCAAAAAGUUUGCUUCUCCACCAAACAUACUUGCGAAGACUUUUAUAUGAGAAGCAAACUGAAGCAGAAAGUGAAUUUGAACAGAGAUGUAUUAUCUAAUAAUGCAAGCAUACUAGCAACAUGCUAAAGUCUAUCUUUAAAAAAUGCAAACAAUUUAUAGUCCCUGACCUUCCCCUGCUGGAUGUAGAUCAAAAGCAGGCAGUGACUUUCACACAAUUAAUUAUUUUAUAACUGGACGUUUCCAGUACAACAUUUGCUAAUAACUGACUUCCUUGUGUUACCAAUUCCAAAAGCUGUCAGAGAUCUCCCUAACUCACCUGAAAAGGGAGGAAACAGGAAUCAUUAGGCCAGGUUCUCAGAAGCCUCCCAAACCUUGCCACGUGGAACCAUCCAGCUCCACAUCCAG
rnacentral:lncRNA from 1 species